UAGGGAAUCUUCCGCAAUGGGCGAAAGCCUGACGGAGCAACGCCGCGUGAGUGAUGAAGGUCUUCGGAUCGUAAAACUCUGUUAUUAGGGAAGAACAAAUGUGUAAGUAACUAUGCACGUCUUGACGGUACCUAAUCAGAAAGCCACGGCUAACUACGUGCCAGCAGCCGCGGUAAUACGUAGGUGGCAAGCGUUAUCCGGAAUUAUUGGGCGUAAAGCGCGCGUAGGCGGUUUUUUAAGUCUGAUGUGAAAGCCCACGGCUCAACCGUGGAGGGGCAUUGGAAACUGGAAAACUUGAGUGCAGAAGAGGGAAGUGGAAUUCCAUGUGUAGCGGUGAAAUGCGCAGAGAUAUGGAGGAACACCAGUGGCGAAGGCGACUUUCUGGUCUGUAACUGACGCUGAUGUGCGAAAGCGUGGGGAUCAAACAGG
rnacentral:rRNA from 1 species